rnacentral:rRNA from 1 species
CGGAUUGUAGUCUGCAACCCGACUACAUGAAGCUGGAAUCGCUAGUAAUCGCAGAUCAGAAUGCUGCGGUGAAUACGUUCCCGGGUCUUGUACACACCGCCCGUCACACCAUGGGAGUCGGAAAUGCCCGAAGCCAGUGACCCAACCUUAAGGAGGGAGCUGUCGAAGGUGGAGCCGAUAACUGGGGUGAAGUCGUAACAAGGUAGC